GUUUUGAAGUCAACUUCUCUCUCUCUCUCUCUCUCUCUCUCUCUCUCUCUCUCUCUGUAUACACUAAGAUUGUACUGCUGUACUGACCCAUUGUUACUGGACACGGUUUAUUGAACUUACAAUAGCAGACUGGGUCUAUACCCAGAGGAGUACUUGGAAGGGUUUCCAGUGAGGACAUCUGUCUUAGCUAGAUUGGAGGUGCAACUCUAACCAACAGUAAGUCAAACUGUGGAUGGCCAACAGCCAAAGGGCAGUUUAUAUUGAAAAAACACCUACAGUUCCUCCCAGUUCCUUCAUGCAAAUGAGAGAUUUAAACUGCAACACAAUGUUCCUUCUUGACUAGCCAAUGCCAAAAUGGGCACAGUGGCUCAUGCUGUAAUCCUACCUACUACAGAGGCUGAAACAGAAGGAUGACAAAUUCAAACAUGUUUGGGCUUGGGGACAUAUUCAGGAACUGAGGCAGAACACACUGGCAUCAUGAAAAAAGGAAGUGAAUGAACAAUGGCUACAAGCCCAUGUGACUGCAGAGCUCAUACCGUAGGACAUGCAUGACGACUGACACAAGGAAGACACAAGGCUGCCCCAACGGAGCUGGGAUCAGUCUCACCAACUGAGAGGACUGAUGGCUUCCUCUGCUUCACUGUAAUGGCAUCUCCUAUCUUGAGCCUUACAAAAUUGCCUGUUCUCAGUGUGCGUCUCCAGAAAAAUCACACACAAUUACUCUAUUCUGGGAGGAUCCUGACCCAUUUCUGGAAUUCUCCACCACCACCCCACUUUAACUCACAAAUAACUCUCGCUCCCACUGAAGUUUUCUGAUAGGAUGCUAUCCAGCAUCCCAGGCAGGGUGUCUCUUUUUAGGAACCCAAACACACUUCUUGAACACGUCCUUAGUUUCUCCCUGGAAUAAACUUCCUCCAAUUCUUUAUUUUUCACUUGUCUCUGAACUCUAUCUGAUGGUGAGAGGAAGUUGUAAAUCAUGAGUAGAAGUUUUGAGCUGGUCUCUCUGAGACUUUCUCAUCCUUUACCACGAGUGAUAUAACCAAAAGAAAAUAACAAAGGAUGUGUAGGAGACUGCAAAUCAAAGUUAUAUGAGCAAAUAAACUCUACUUGCAAGUGCCUUCAACAUUCUCACCGAACCAGGUCAGAGAACUUGUUAGCUUCACAGCAGGUCUCAUGAGUAUCUCCUUACCUGCUGGCAUCUUAACACUUAUACUUCUAUUUACUUUCAUGGCCAGGAGCUGAAUCCAGGUCCUCCUGUGUGCUAGGCACAUGCUCUAUUAUUGAGCUACACAGUGUGCUGGCUCUUUCCAGACUGAUCUUUGACCACAUCAUCCCUGGACUAGUUUAAUUCAGCUGGUCUUGAAGACAUCAUCUUUCCAGUUUCCUUUCAUCCUUUGUCCAUGGUUUCCCUCACCUACACCAGAGUUCCUGAUAAUCCUCCCUUCCAUAGAUUAGUUGUAUUUUUCUUGUUUCAUGCCUCAUUUCACUAGUGUUGAAAAUGGGACCUCCUGAACAUUAUGUGGUAAUUGUCGAGUUACCAUCUCACCAUGACUUGGGUUUGCUGUUUCUGUCUGCUGUGGGGUGGAGUUAGUUGUUUAGUAAUUUUUCUAAACAUUUUUAUUAGCCUAUAUGUUACAAAUUUUCAAUUGUAAGAAUACAGUUGGAUGACAUUAAGUAAAAUUAUACUGCUGUAUUUUCCAAGCACCACUGCCACCU
rnacentral:lncRNA from 1 species